UACGUAGGGGGCGAGCGUUGUCCGGAUUUAUUGGGCGUAAAGAGCUCGUAGGCGGUUUGGUAAGUCGGGUGUGAAAUCUCCACGCUCAACGUGGAGGGGCCACUCGAUACUGCCAUGACUCGAGUCCGGUAGAGGAGUGUGGAAUUCCCGGUGUAGCGGUGAAAUGCGUAGAUAUCGAGAGGAACACCAGUGGCGAAGGCGAGUCCCUGGACAACACCUGACACUGAGGCACGAAAGCUAGGGGAGCAAACAGG
rnacentral:rRNA from 1 species